rnacentral:rRNA from 1 species
UACAGAGGCCUCGAGCGUUAGGCGGAAUCACUGGGCUUAAAGCGUGUGUAGGCGGACUUCUAAGUGCCUUGUGAAAUCCCACGGCUCACCCGUGGAACUGCUUGGUAUACUGCGGAUCUUGAGCCACCUAGGGGCAAGUGGAACAAACGGUGGAGCGGUGAAAUGCGUAGAUAUCGUUUGGAACGCCAAUGGUGAAAACAACUUGCUGGGGGUGUGCUGACGCUGAGACACGAAAGCCAGGGGAGCAAACGGG